rnacentral:rRNA from 1 species
CAGUUCGGACUGUAGGCUGCAACUCGCCUACACGAAGUCGGAAUCGCUAGUAGUCGCGGAUCAGCAUGCCGCGGUGAAUACGUUCCCGGGCCUUGUACACACCGCCCGUCACACCAUGGGAGUUUGUAACGCCCAAAGUCGGUGGCCUAACCUUUAUGGAGGGAGCCGCCUAAGGCGGGACAGAUGACUGGGGUGAAGUCGUAACAAGGUAGC